UUUCCGUAGGCGAACCUGCGGAAGGAUCAUUAGCGAUUGCCUCGGGCGUUAAACUAUAUCCAUAACACCUGUGAACCGUUUGAUUGACCUUAACGGGUUGAUUUUACAAACAUUGUGUAAUGAACGUCAUUUUAUUAUAACAAAUAAAACUUUCAACAACGGAUCUCUUGGCUCUC
rnacentral:misc_RNA from 1 species